CCUACGGGUGGCAGCAGUCGAGAAUCAUUCACAAUGGGGGAAACCCUGAUGGUGCGAAGCCGCGUGGGGGAAUGAAGGUCUUCGGAUUGUAAACCCCUGUCAUGUGGGAGCAAAUUAAAAAGAUAGUACCACAAGAGGAAGAGAUGGCUAACUCUGUGCCAGCAGCCGCGGUAAUACAGAGGUCUCAAGCGUUGUUCGGAAUCACGUGGCGUAAAGCGUGCGGAGGCUGUUUCGUAAGUCGUGUGUGAAAGGCGCGGGCUCAACCCGCGGACGGCACAUGAUACUGCGGGACUAGAGUAAGGGAGAGGUAACCGGAAUUCUCGGUGUAGCAGUGAAAUGCGUAGAUAUCGAGAGGAACACUCGUGGCGAAGGCGGGUUCCUGGACAUUAACUGACGCUGAGGCACGAAGGCCAGGGGAGCGAAAGGGAUUAGAUACCCCGGUAGUC
rnacentral:rRNA from 1 species